GGGCGGCGCCGCGGCGCCCGGCUCCGCCUCCAACGGCGGCGAGUACUCCCCGAAGCCCUCCAAGCCGCUCUCCUGCCUCUCCCGCGCCGCCCGCUACGCCGCCGCCGAGCACCGCCCCAUCUUCGCCCUCGCCGGCAUGCUCUUCGCCGCCGCCCUCUUCACCUUCUCCUCCUCCACCACCUCCACCUCGUCCCCGUCGUACCCCGCAGCGUCGGUCGGAUUCAACCACCUCGCCGUCGCCGGGCACCCAUCCUUCCGCGAGUCCGUCGGUGGCAAGGUGCCCCUGGGCCUGCGGCGGCGCGCGCUGCGGGUGCUGGUGACGGGCGGCGCCGGGUUCGUGGGGAGCCACCUGGUGGACCGCCUGGUGGAGCGCGGCGACAGCGUGAUCGUGGUGGACAACUUCUUCACGGGGCGCAAGGGGAACGUCGCGCACCACCUCCAGAACCCCAGGUUCGAGGUGAUCCGCCACGACGUCGUCGAGCCCAUACUGCUCGAGGUCGACCAGAUCUACCACCUUGCAUGCCCUGCGAGCCCCGUUCACUACAAGUACAACCCCAUCAAGAC
rnacentral:lncRNA from 1 species